AUUGAACGCUGGCGGCAGGCCUAACACAUGCAAGUCGAACGAGUGGCGGACGGGUGAGUAAUGUCUGGGAAACUGCCUGAUGGAUGGGGAUAACUUCUGGAACCGGUAGCUAAUACCGCAUACCAUCAGAUGUGCGCAGAUGGGAUUAGCUUGUUGGUGGGGUAACGGCUCACCAGGGCGACGAUCCCUAGCUGGUCUGAGAGGAUGACCAGCCAGACUGGAACUGAUACACGGGCCAGACGCCUACGAGAGGCAGCAGUGGGGGAUAUUGGGCAAUGGGCGCAAGCCGGAUGCACCCAUGCCGCGGGUAUGAAGAGGGCCUUCGGGGUGUAAAGUACUUUAAGCGGUGAGGCGGUACCCGCAGAAGAAGCACCGGCUAACUCCGUGCCAGCAGCCGCGGUAAUAC
rnacentral:rRNA from 1 species